rnacentral:rRNA from 1 species
AUUGAACGCUGGCGGCAGGCCUAACACAUGCAAGUCGAACGAGUGGCGGACGGGUGAGUAAUGUCUGGGAAACUGACUGAUGGAGGGGGAUAACUACUGGAAACGGUAGCUAAUACCGCAUACCAUCGGAUGUGCCCAGAUGGGAUUAGCUAGUAGGUGGGGUAAAGGCUCACCUAGGCGACGAUCCCUAGCGGGUCUGAGAGGAUGACCAGCCAAACUGGAACUGAGACACGGGCCAGACUCCUACGUGAGGCAGAAGUGGGGAAUAUUGCACAAUGGGCGCAAGCCUGAUGCAGCCAGGCCGCGUGUAUGAAGAAGGCCUUCGGGUUGUAAAGGACUUUCAGCGGGGAGGCGUUACCCGCAGAAGAAGCACCGGCGAACUCCGUGCCAGCCGCCGCGGUAAUUC